UACGUAGGGGGCAAGCGUUGUCCGGAUUAAUUGGGCGUAAAGCGCACGCAGGCGGUCUUUUAAGUUUCGAGUGACAGGUGGGGGCUUAACUCCCACAGGCCUGGAAAACUGGAAGACUUGAGGACGAGAGAGGACGCGGAAUUCCAGGUGGAGCGGUGAAAUGCGUAGAGAUCUGGAAGAACACCAAAGGCGAAGGCAGCGUUCUGGCUCGUAUCUGACGCUCAUGUGCGAAAGCCAGGGAGCGAACGGG
rnacentral:rRNA from 1 species